GCGAAGAACCUUACCAGGUCUUGACAUCCUUUGACCACUCUAGAGAUAGAGCUUCCCCUUCGGGGGCAAAGUGACAGGUGGUGCAUGGUUGUCGUCAGCUCGUGUCGUGAGAUGUUGGGUUAAGUCCCGCAACGAGCGCAACCCUUAUUGUUAGUUGCCAUCAUUCAGUUGGGCACUCUAGCAAGACUGCCGGUGACAAACCGGAGGAAGGUGGGGAUGACGUCAAAUCAUCAUGCCCCUUAUGACCUGGGCUACACACGUGCU
rnacentral:rRNA from 1 species